CCCUUAGAUGUCCGGGGCCGCACGCGCGCUACACUGAAGGAAUCAGCGUGGCUUUCUCCCUGACCCGAAAGGGUUGGGAAACCCGUUGAAUCUCCUUCGUGAUAGGGAUUGGGGCUUGAAAUUGUUCCCCAUGAACGAGGAAUUCCCAGUAAGCGCGAGUCAUAAGCUCGCGUUGAUUACGUCCCUGCCCUUUGUACACACCGCCCGUCGCUACUACCGAUUGAACGGUUUAGUGAGGGCCUCGGAUUGGUCUCAGCCCGCUCUUUACCGGGCGGCGCCGUUGAUCGAGAAGACGCUCGAACUUGAUCGUUUAGAGGAAGUAAAAGUCGUAACA
rnacentral:rRNA from 1 species